rnacentral:rRNA from 1 species
AUUGAACGCUGGCGGCAUGCUUUACACAUGCAAGUCGAACGGUAACGCGGGGGCAACCCUGGCGACGAGUGGCGAACGGGUGAGUAAUACAUCGGAACAUGUCCUGGAGUGGGGGAUAGCUCGGCGAAAGCCGGAUUAAUACCGCAUACGCUCUGAGGAGGAAAGCGGGGGAUCCGUAAGGACCUCGCGCUGCGGGAGUGGCCGAUGUCGGAUUAGCUAGUUGGUGAGGUAAAGGCUCACCAAGGCGACGAUCCGUAGCUGGUCUGAGAGGAUGAUCAGCCACACUGGGACUGAGACACGGCCCAGACUCCUACGGGAGGCAGCAGU